rnacentral:tRNA from 3 species
GCUUCCGUAGCUCAGUGGAUUAGAGCGUCACGCUACGAACGUGAGGGUCGCAGGUUCGACUCCUGCCGGAAGUACCA